rnacentral:SRP_RNA from 2 species
GCUGGGCGUGGUGGCUCAUGCCUGUAAUCCCAGUUACUUGGGAGGCUGAGGCAGGAGAAUCACUUGAACCCAGGAGGUGGAGGUUGCAGUGAGCCAAGAUCGCCACUACAAUCCAACCUGGGCAACAGAGUAAGACUCUGUCUCGA